UACGUAGGGGGCAAGCGUUGUCCGGAAUCAUUGGGCGUAAAGCGCGCGUAGGCGGCCCGGUAAGUCCGCUGUGAAAGUCAAAGGCUCAACCUUUGAAUGUCAGCGGAUACUGCCGGGCUAGAGUCCGGAAGAGGCGAGUGGAACUCCUGGUGUAGCGGUGGAAUGCGCAGAUAUCAGGAAGAACACCAACGGCGAAGGCAGCUCGCUGGGACGGAACUGACGCUGAGGCGCGAAAGCUAGGGGAGCGAAUGGG
rnacentral:rRNA from 1 species